rnacentral:rRNA from 1 species
GACGAACGCUGGCGGCGUGCCUAAUACAUGCAAGUCGAGCGCAGGAAAUCGACGGAACCCUUCGGGGGGAAGUCGACGGAAUGAGCGGCGGACGGGUGAGUAACACGUAAAGAACCUGCCCCCAGGUCUGGGAUAACCACGAGAAAUCGGGGCUAAUACCGGAUGGGUCAUCGGACCGCAUGGUCCGAGGAUGAAAGGCGCUUCGGCGUCGCCUGGGGAUGGCUUUGCGGUGCAUUAGCUAGUUGGUGGGGUAAUGGCCCACCAAGGCGACGAGGCAUAGCAGACCUGAGGGGGUGGUCGGCCACACGGGGACUGAGACACGGCCCAGAAUCCGACGGGAGGCAGCAGUAGGGAAUCUUCCACAAUGGACGAAAGUCUGAUGGGGCAACGCCGCGUGAACGAUGAAGGCCUUCGGGUCGUAAAGUUCUGUUGUAAGGGAAGAACAAGUGCCGCAGGCAAUGGCGGCACCUUGACGGUACCUUGCGAGAAAGCCACGGCUAACUACGUGCCAGCCGCCGCGGUAA